rnacentral:rRNA from 1 species
AUUGAACGCUGGCGGCACGCUUUACACAUGCAAGUCGAACGGUAACAGGCCGCAAGGUGCUGACGAGUGGCGAACGGGUGAGUAAUGCAUCGGAACGUGCCCAGUCGUGGGGGAUAACGCAGCGAAAGCUGCGCUAAUACCGCAUACGAUCUAUGGAUGAAAGCGGGGGACCGUAAGGCCUCGCGCGAUUGGAGCGGCCGAUGUCAGAUUAGGUAGUUGGUGGGGUAAAGGCUCACCAAGCCAACGAUCUGUAGCUGGUCUGAGAGGACGACCAGCCACACUGGGACUGAGACACGGCCCAGACUCAUCCGGGAGGCAGCAGGGGGGAAUUUUGGACAAUGGACGCAAGCCUGAUCCAGCAAUGCCGCGUGCAGGAAGAAGGCCUUCGGGUUGUAAACUGCUUUUGUACGGAACGAAACGGCUCUCUCUAAUACAGGGGGCUCAUGACGGUACCGUAAGAAUAAGCACCGGCUAACUACGUGCCAGCCGCCGCCGUAAUAC